AUGCUCAGCCCACUUGGCUCCUGGCCAGCUCUUGGGAACAGCUUCCCUGCGGGUGACACAGGAUGGUAUGGGACAGGGCAGAGGGCCACAAGCCGUUGGCUUUUGGGACCAACACUGGUGUCGCAAUCUGCCUGGAGAAAGAAAGCAGGGGAUAUGGCUGGGCAGGGACAGGAGCAUUCUGUCCAUUCCCCGCUGCACCAGCAUCCUGUGUGUGACUUGGAGGAUGGCAUGCAGUGGCAGCAGAGCCCAGCCCAAGCUCCAUUUGGCCUUUCCACAGCUCUUGGCUCAAGGCUCUCUGAGCCUGAAACUGAGUGGAUUACACUUAGGCCUCCAGCCCCAGCCUGAUUAUACUUCACUCUAAAAGGGUGACUGAAGAGAGAAGAGCUAACACAAGCCUACAGAAGUAACUAACUCAAGAGAAGCAGAGAAAUAAAGUAAAAUGCAGAUUUUUUUUUUUUUUUGUACCAGAGAUUGAAAUCGGGACCUUAUGCUUGUGAAGCAGGUGGUGGAACCACUGAGCUAAAUCCCCAGCCCUAAAAUGCAGAUUUCUGGAGUAAAAUGUGAUUUUUCUCCCUUUAAAGUAGAUUUUUAAAAAUAUUCAAUCAAAAUGUUUUUAGAAACUCUUUACCAGUGUUUUCCAUGGACAAGUACUGAAAUGAUCCUACUAAACAAGAACAAGGC
rnacentral:lncRNA from 1 species